rnacentral:rRNA from 1 species
GAUAAUAAUCGGGUAUGAAGCCCGGUGCCGAAGCCGUGGGAUGUCUUUAUGACAUCGGUAGGGGAGCAUUCAUGCGGCCUUGAAGCCCAAGGGACGACCUUGGGUGGAGCUUCAUGAAAAGCAAAUGUAGGUAUAAGUAACGAUAAAGAGUGUGAGAUGCACUCUCGCCGAAAGACUAAGGUUUCCGGGGCAACGUUAAUCGGCCCCGGGUCAGUCGGGACCUAAGGCUCAUCCUAAUGGAGAGGCCGAUGGCAGAAACGGUUAAUAUUCCGUUACUAUCCCUUGGGGCGAUGUGGAGACGGAGAAGUGACACUUCCGCGGGCUGACGGAAUAGCCCGUUAAAGAUCGUAGGCGUCGACGAGGGCAGGCAAAUCCACCCUCUGAGCUGAAAGUCGACAGUAUGCAGCGUCUUCGGACAAUGCAAUAGUGAAGGUAAGCAUACUCCCGAGAAAAUCCGCUAAGCUUAACCCAUUGGAUACCCGUACCGCAAACGGACACACGUAGU